GGCUCUCUUAUUAUUCAUAUAACCAAAGAAAAUAAUCAUACCAGUCUACUUUCAAGGGCAUAUAUCUAAUGUUUUACUCUAGCAGCAGCUGAAAACCCCAAAAUUCUCCUCAUUUUAAGCAACGGUCCACAUGGAUACUGUUGAUGCAGCUAAUGCAGAUCUGCAAAAAGUCAUAAUAAAAAUUUCUUUGUACUGUCAAUCAGAGAGUCAUAGAGAAUACAAUUUAUCUGCAAUUCUUCAAAUUUCAGUCCCAAUUAAAGGGCAACAUCACUAUAUUUUGCAUGGUAACACUCAGUUAUAGAUAGCCUUAAUUUCUAUUGUAAGAUCACCAUAAAUUGGAUGAAAUUUUCACUUAGACAUUUUCUCAAACAACUCAAAUGCACUACACAAAAUCACUGGAUUCUAAGGCCACAACUGAGGGACUACUCUAAGGCCAUAACUAAGGUAAAUAACAAUCUAUCAAAAGCCAUACAGCACCACUCAAUACUACAUACAUCUACCAUCAUCAAUGUCCUCAAAGAAAAAUCUCCAAACACUUUGCAGCCCUAGGCAUAUCUUCUAUCACUAUCUCAAGCUUUAUCACAAUUCCAUGAAAAUCUUCAUAAUACAUAUACCAUAGCUUUAAUAAGAGACAAUCCAUUUUGAAAAAAUGCAGUUCAAGAGAUUUUGAGAAAUUUCAAAGAAUUUAUUUUUCAUGAGAACAGGGAAAUUGACCAAAACUAUCAUGGGCAUGCGAUUAGUAGUUUUCAAGUACUCUUGGAUCACUUGACGUAUCUGUGAAUGUUUCAACUGGAUAGACAAAGACAACAGAAACAACAAGCUUUCAUACACUUUUCACUAUAAAACACAAUGCAAAAGACAAAUAAACCAUGUAUUGAAAUUCAAUAGUGAAAGAUGAAGAAGUAAUAAUACAUAAAUAUAUAUAUAUAUAUACACACACACACACACAAGCAGAAGAUAAAGAGCUUGAUUAUAUUGGAUUCCACAACCAGAUGCUUCAGUUAACAUUAGUCUAUAUGUAACUUUUGUUUGGUUGACUUAUCUUUUUCCGUUAAAAAUAGAUAAUUAAUUCAAAAAAAGCAUCGCAUUGGAAAACCCUGUAAGAGGAAAAUAUAAAGGGCAAACCAACUAUGAAUGAAAUUAGCAUUAGAAAGUUUUGGAUGAUGCAAAAUGAAACCAAACGUGGAAACUUUCGACCGGCAAAAAAAAAAACUAUCCACAAUAACAAAACUCAGAGAUCACAAACACUUACAAAUACUCAAAGGAAAGCAAUGCCAAAGUAAGACUACGAGCAGCAGCAAAACCAAUAACUAAACAAGACAUUAAAACCUUUACCCUUCAAUAAAAUGGAAAAAAACGAAGAGAAAAUAGAAACUUGGAGGUCUAGUUUAGCAUAAAAUUAGAAAAAUGAUUGAAAAAUAAACUAAAGCAAAACUCAAACCUUGAAAAGUUUAAUCUUUUUUCCUCCUUCCCGUCAAUUUUCCUUCCAAAAAUAAAAGAACCAGGUUUGUCUUCCUUUCAUUUGUUGACACUAUCUGCUCUCUCUACAAUAGAGAGAAAAUUUGUGAAAUGAAUGGAAUAAAAGAUAAAAUAUUCCUUUCACAAUAAUAAAAAAAAAAGUUCUCAGUCAAAUCUCUAAAACCAAAAAAUGAAAAUAUAAAAAUAUGAAAAGCAAGUAUGUCAAACAUGGAGGUCUAAAUUCUUUGCUAAAAAAAAGCUUCAUUACCUUAGACCCUUUCCUUCUUCUGUAUUAUCACCCAUCGAAAGAAUACUUUCUUCAAACCUAAAAAACAGCAGGGAGUAAAAUACAUAGUUAGAUUGAAGACUAAAAAAUGAAAGAACUGAAAAAAAAAGAACUCCAAGUCUUUCUUUGAUACAAAUAACGAUUUACCAAAGCAAAUGGAAGCGUGAGUAUUUUUUUUUUGAGAAAAAAAAAAGAGAGGAAGAACUGGAAAAGAGAGAAGCUACUGAGAGGAAGAGAAGAAAGAGAGGGACGACAGAAGUAUUGAGAGAGAGAGAGAGAGGAUAGUUAAUUUUGUAACCCUAGACAUUUUGUGACAAAAAAUCGAAGAGGGGUGGGUGUGAUUUGACAUGGGCCACUGUUUGCAAGAGCAGCUCACCUACUCUCUGGCAACAGAGGA
rnacentral:lncRNA from 1 species